rnacentral:rRNA from 1 species
UCAAGCGACUAAGUGUAUGUGGUGGAUGCCUUGGCGAUUACAGGCGAUGAAGGACGUCGCAGCCUGCGAAAAGCCGUGGGGAGCUGGCAAGCGAGCACUGAUCCACGGAUGUCCGAAUGAGGGAACUCACCCGCAAGGGUAUCUUGAAGUGAAUACAUAGCUUCAAGAGGCGAACGCAGCGAACUGAAACAUCUAAGUAGCUGCAGGAAAAGAAAUCAACCGAGAUUCUGAAAGUAGCGGCGAGCGAAAUUGGAAGAGCCUGCAAGUGAUAUUGAAUUCGAUACUGGAACGGUCUGGAAAGUCCGGCUACAGAGGGUGACAGCCCCGUACGGGAAAUUGGGUUCAAGGUACUGAGCUUGCGAGAAGUAGAGCGGGACACGUGAAAUCCUGCUCGAAGAUGGGGGGACCAUCCUCCAAGGCUAAAUACUCGUAAUCGACCGAUAGCGAACCAGUACUGUGAAGGAAAGGCGAAAAGAACCCCGGGAGGGGAGUGAAAUAGAUCCUGAAACCGCAUACAUACAAACAGUAGGAGCCCGCAAGGGUGACUGCGUACCUUUUGCAUAAUGGGUCAGCGACUUACGUUCAAUGGCAAGCUUAACCGAGUAGGGGAGGCGCAGCGAAAGCGAGUCCGAACAGGGCGACAUGAGUCGUUGGGCGUAGACCCGAAACCAGAUGAUCUAUCCAUGGCCAGGCUGAAGGUGUGGUAACACACACUGGAGGGCCGAACCGACUAGUGUUGCAAAAUUAGCGGAUGAGCUGUGGAUAGGGGUGAAAGGCUAAACAAAUCUGGAGAUAGCUGGUUCUCCCCGAAAACUAUUGAGGUAGUGCCUCGUGUAUGGCUCCAGGGGGUAGAGCACUGUUAUGGCUAGGGGGACAUGGCGUCUUACCAAACCAUGGCAAACUCCGAAUACUUGGAAGUCUGAGCACGGGAGACAGAGCACCGGGUGCUAACGUCCGGACUCAAAAGGGAAACAACCCAGACCGCCGGCUAAGGUCCCUAAUAUUGACUAAGUGGAAAACGAAGUGGGAAGGCUAAGACAGUCAGGAAGUUGGCUUAGAAGCAGCCAUCCUUCAAAGAAAGCGUAAUAGCUCACUGAUCGAGUCUUCCUGCGCGGAAGAUGUAACGGGGCUAAGUCAAUAACCGAAGCCGCGGAUUCGCAGCAAUGCGAGUGGUAGGGGAGCGUUCUGUAAGCCUGCGAAGGCGGAUCCGUGAGGACCGCUGGAGGUAUCAGAAGUGCGAAUGCUGACAUGAGUAACGUUAAAGCGGGUGAAAAGCCCGCUCGCCGCAAGCCCAAGGUUUCCUGCUCUACGUUCAUCGGAGCAGGGUGAGUCGGCCCCUAAGGUCAGGCUGAGAAGCGUAGCUGAUGGGAAGCUGGUUAAUAUUCCAGCACCGAUUUCAAGUGCGAAGGGGGGACGGAGUCCUGAAGGUCAUCCGGGUGUUGGACAUCCCGGUUUACGAGCGUAGGAGGUUGACAGGCAAAUCCGUCAACGGAUCUCCAAGGCGAAGGAUCGAGGUUGAGAGAUCAACUGAAGUGACUGAAUGGGCUUCCAGGAAAAGCCUCUAAGCAUCAGCUUGGAAUUGACCGUACCGCAAACCGACACUGGUGGGCGAGCUGAAUAUGCUCAGGCGCUUGAGAGAACUCAGGAGAAGGAACUCGGCAAAUUGACACCGUAACUUCGGGAUAAGGUGUGCCUUUGUAGUGUGAAGGGAGAAACACCCCGAGCAUGAAGAGGCCUCAGAGAAUCGGUGGCUGCAACUGUUUACUAAAAACACAGCACUCUGCAAAGAUGAAAGUCGACGUAUAGGGUGUGAUGCCUGCCCGGUGCUGGAAGAUUAAUUGAUGGGGUGCAAGCUCCUGAUCGAAGUCCCAGUAAACGGCGGCCGUAACUAUAACGGUCCUAAGGUAGCGAAAUUCCUUGUC